UCGGAGGGGAAAGGGGCGGACACCGAGGCGAGGCGGUGCCCGGAGCGUGCGCACUCGCUUGCCUUCCCACGGUGCGUGUGCGCAUGCGCCUGGGGCACGAGGCGCGCGCGCAGAGCUGCAGCUGAUUAACUUAACAUCCUGGGGCGCAGCGUUCAAGGAGAAAAACAGGAUGCUCUGAGAGAAGCUUAGCAGUGCUGUGCCGAAGCCAGCUCCUUCUGGUGGGGGCAAUUAAAAAUUUCCCAGGCUUAGCAAGAUCAAAUGGGUGUGUGCAGUGCUCUCUCUGACAUGCAAUUUAUGGAACUGUUUCUUCGUAAAUGUGAUCUCUGUACUUCCUGUGAAGCAUUUGAGGUCCUGUUUGGAGAAUUUGAUGGAAUUUCACUUGUUGCCCAGGCUGGGGCACAGUGGCACAAUUCCAGCU